GAGUUUGAUCAUGGCUCAGAACGAACGCUGGCGGCAGGCCUAACACAUGCAAGUCGAGCGCUACCUUCGGGUGGAGCGGCGGACGGGUUAGUAACGCGUGGGAAUAUACCCAGUUCUAAGGAAUAGCCACUGGAAACGGUGAGUAAUACCUUAUACGCCCUUCGGGGGAAAGAUUUAUCGGAAUUGGAUUAGCCCGCGUUAGAUUAGAUAGUUGGUGGGGUAAUGGCCUACCAAGUCUACGAUCUAUAGCUGGUUUGAGAGGAUGAUCAGCAACACUGGGACUGAGACACGGCCCAGACUCCUACGGGAGGCAGCAGUGGGGAAUCUUAGACAAUGGGCGCAAGCCUGAUCUAGCCAUGCCGCGUGAGUGAUGAAGGCCCUAGGGUCGUAAAGCUCUUUCAACUGUGAAGAUAAUGACGGUAGCAGUAGAAGAAACCCCGGCUAACUCCGUGCCAGCAGCCGCGGUAAUACGGAGGGGGUUAGCGUUGUUCGGAAUUACUGGGCGUAAAGCGUACGUAGGCGGAUUAAUAAGUUAGAGGUGAAAUCCCAGGGCUCAACCCUGGAACUGCCUUUAAAACUGUUAGUCUUGAGAUCGAGAGAGGUGAGUGGAAUUCCAAGUGUAGAGGUGAAAUUCGUAGAUAUUUGGAGGAACACCAGUGGCGAAGGCGGCUCACUGGCUCGAUACUGACGCUGAGGUACGAAAGUGUGGGGAGCAAACAGGAUUAGAUACCCUGGUAGUCCACACCGUAAACGAUGAAUGCCAGACGUCAGCAAGCAUGCUUGUUGGUGUCACACCUAACGGAUUAAGCAUUCCGCCUGGGGAGUACGGUCGCAAGAUUAAAACUCAAAGGAUUUGACGGGGGCCCGCACAAGCGGUGGAGCAUGUGGUUUAAUUCGACGCAACGCGCAGAACCUUACCAACCCUUGACAUACUUGUCGCGGAUUCCAGAGAUGGAUUCCUUCAGUUCGGCUGGACAAUGUACAGGUGCUGCAUGGCUGUCGUCAGCUCGUGUCGUGAGAUGUUGGGUUAAGUCCGGCAACGAGCGCAACCCACGUCCUUAGUUACCAGCAUUUAGUUGGGUACCCUAAGGAGACUGCCGGUGAUAAGCCGGAGGAAGGUGUGGACGACGUCAAGUCAUCAUGGCCCUUACGGGUUGGGCUACACACGUGCUACAAUGGCAUCUACAGUGAGUUAAUCUCCAAAAGAUGUCUCAGUUCGGAUUGGGGUCUGCAACUCGACCCCAUGAAGUUGGAAUCGCUAGUAAUCGCGGAACAGCAUGCCGCGGUGAAUACGUCCCCGGGCCUUGUACACACCGCCCGUCACACCAUGGGAAUUGGGUCUACCCGAAGGUGGUGCGCCAACUAUUUAUAGGGGCAGCCAACCACGGUAGGUUCAGUGACUGGGGUGAAGUCGUAACAAGGUAACC
rnacentral:rRNA from 1 species